UACGAAGGGGGCUAGCGUUGCUCGGAAUCACUGGGCGUAAAGCGCACGUAGGCGGGUUGCUAAGUCAGGGGUGAAAUCCUGGAGCUCAACUCCAGAACUGCCUUUGAUACUGGCGGCCUCGAGUCCGGGAGAGGUGAGUGGAACUGCGAGUGUAGAGGUGAAAUUCGUAGAUAUUCGCAAGAACACCAGUGGCGAAGGCGGCUCACUGGCCCGGUACUGACGCUGAGGUGCGAAAGCGUGGGGAGCAAACAGG
rnacentral:rRNA from 1 species